rnacentral:tRNA from 1 species
GCCUCCGUAGCUCAGUCGGAUAGAGCGGCCGCCUUCUAAGCGGCGGGUCGCAGGUUCGAGUCCUGCCGGGGGCACCA